rnacentral:rRNA from 1 species
UUGGUUAAGUUAGAAAGGGCGCACGGUGGAUGCCUUGGCACUAGGAGCCGAAGAAGGACGGGACUAACACCGAUAUGCUUUGGGGAGCUGUACGUAAGCGUUGAUCCAGAGAUUUCCGAAUGGGGGAACCCACUAUCUUUAGUCGGAUAGUAUCCUUACGUGAAUACAUAGCGUAAGGAAGGCAGACCCAGGGAACUGAAACAUCUAAGUACCUGGAGGAAGAGAAAGAAAAAUCGAUUUCCUGAGUAGCGGCGAGCGAAACGGAAAGAGCCCAAACCAAGAAGCUUGCUUCUUGGGGUUGUAGGACACUCUAUACGGAGUUACAAAAGAAAGUUAUAAAUGAAGCGGUCUGGAAAGGCCCGCCAAAGACGGUAACAGCCCGGUAGUUGAAAUGGCUUUCCCUCCAGAGUGGAUCCUGAGUACGGCGGAACACGUGAAAUUCCGUCGGAAUCCGGGAGGACCAUCUCCCAAGGCUAAAUACUCCCUAGUGACCGAUAGUGAACCAGUACCGUGAGGGAAAGGUGAAAAGCACCCCGGAAGGGGAGUGAAACAGUUCCUGAAACCGUGUGCCUACAAGUAGUUAGAGCCCGUUAAUGGGUGAUAGCGUGCCUUUUGUAGAAUGAACCGGCGAGUUACGAUUUGUUGCAAGGUUAAGCGGAAAAAGCGGAGCCGUAGCGAAAGCGAGUCUGAAUAGGGCGCAUAAGUAACAGGUCGUAGACCCGAAACCAGGUGAUCUACCCAUGUCCAGGAUGAAGGUAAGGUAAUACUUACUGGAGGUCCGAACCCACGCACGUUGAAAAGUGCGGGGAUGAGGUGUGGGUAGCGGAGAAAUUCCAAUCGAACUUGGAGAUAGCUGGUUCUCUCCGAAAUAGCUUUAGGGCUAGCCUCGAGGUAAAGAGUCAUGGAGGUAGAGCACUGUUUGGACUAGGGGCCCUUCUCGGGUUACCGAAUUCAGAUAAACUCCGAAUGCCAUGUACUUAUACUCGGGAGUCAGACUGCGAGUGAUAAGAUCCGUAGUCGAAAGGGAAACAGCCCAGACCACCAGUUAAGGUCCCCAAAUAUAUGUUAAGUGGAAAAGGAUGUGGGGUUGCUUAGACAACCAGGAUGUUGGCUUAGAAGCAGCCACCAUUGAAAGAGUGCGUAAUAGCUCACUGGUCGAGUGACCCCGCGCCGAAAAUGUACCGGGGCUAAACAUAUUA